AAAGGAGGUGAUCCAGCCGCAGGUUCCCCUACGGCUACCUUGUUACGACUUCACCCCAAUCAUCGGCCCUACCGUAGACGGCUGCCUCCAUUGCUGGUUAGCUCACCGGUGUCGGGUAAAACCAACUUUCGUGGUGUGACGGGCGGUGUGUACAAGGCCCGGGAACGCAUUCACCCGAGCAUGCUGAUCUCGAAUUACUAGCGAUUCCAA
rnacentral:rRNA from 1 species